rnacentral:rRNA from 11 species
AACGAUGUGGGAAGGCCCAAACAGCCAGGAGGUUGGCUUAGAAGCAGCCAUCCUUUAAAGAAAGCGUAAUAGCUCACUGGUCGAGUCGGUCUGCGCGGAAGAUUUACCGGGGCUCAAGCUAUACACCGAAGCUGCGGAUGCACAGUUUACUGUGCGUGGUAGAGGAGCGUUCUGUAAGCCGUUGAAGGUGUGCUGUAAGG